GAUGAACGCUGGCGGCGUGCCUAAUACAUGCAAGUCGAGCGAACAGAUGAGGAGCUUGCUCCUCUGACGUUAGCGGCGGACGGGUGAGUAACACGUGGAUAACCUACCUAUAAGACUGGGAUAACUUCGGGAAACCGGAGCUAAUACCGGAUAAUAUAUUGAACCGCAUGGUUCAAUAGUGAAAGACGGUUUUGCUGUCACUUAUAGAUGGAUCCGCGCCGCAUUAGCUAGUUGGUAAGGUAACGGCUUACCAAGGCAACGAUGCGUAGCCGACCUGAGAGGGUGAUCGGCCACACUGGAACUGAGACACGGUCCAGACUCCUACGGGAGGCAGCAGUAGGGAAUCUUCCGCAAUGGGCGAAAGCCUGACGGAGCAACGCCGCGUGAGUGAUAAAGGUCUUCGGAUCGUAAAACUCUGUUAUUAGGGAAGAACAAAUGUGUAAGUAACUAUGCACGUCUUGACGGUACCUAAUCAGAAAGCCACGGCUAACUACGUG
rnacentral:rRNA from 1 species